rnacentral:rRNA from 1 species
UACAGAGGUCCCAAGCGUUGUUCGGAUUCACUGGGCGUAAAGGGUGCGUAGGCGGUCGGGUAAGUCUGACGUGAAAUCUCCAAGCCUAACUUGGAAACUGCGUUGGAUACUAUCCGGCUUGAGGAAUGGAGGGGAGACUGGAAUACUUGGUGUAGCAGUGAAAUGCGUAGAUAUCAAGUGGAACACCAGUGGCGAAGGCGAGUCUCUGGACAUUUCCUGACGCUGAGGCACGAAAGCCAGGGGAGCAAACGGG